AUGCAACCUGUCUCCUGCGGGCGGACUGUUGUGAACAUCAACGGGGAAAUUGGACCCUACUUCCCCAUCCUCUGUGGGGUUCGUCAGGGUGAUCCUUUCUCCCCCUUUUUGUUCAACAUGGUGGUUGAUGCCCUGGCGUCCAUCCUUGAUAAGGCCAAGGAUGCUGGCCAUAUUCAUGGCAUCGUUCCUCACCUCGUCGGAGGGGGAGGGGCCUCCCUCCUCCAAUAUGCGGACGAUACCAUUAUUAUGGUGGAGGGUUCCGCCCAUGACAUCGCUAACCUCAAGUUCCUCCUCCUGUGCUUCCAACAGAUGUCGGGCCUAACCAUUAACUUCGAUAAGAGUGAAGUGAUGGUGCUCCGGUACCUCCCUGAGGAAGCACAAUCCAUAGCGGACCGCCUUAAUUGUAGGUUGGGCUCUUUCCCCACAACAUACCUGGGGAUCCCCAUCAGCGACUCGCGCCUCACCGUGGCGGACCUCCGCCCCACGGUGACCCGUAUG
rnacentral:rRNA from 1 species